rnacentral:rRNA from 1 species
AUAGUUUGAUCAUGGCUCAGAAUCAACGCUGGCGGCGUGCCUCAGACAUGCAAGUCGAACGCGAAAGUCCCCUUCGGGGGGCAGGUAGAGUGGCGCACGGGUGAGUAACACGUAGGUAAUCUACCUUUGGAUUGGGAAUAACAACCGGAAACGGUUGCUAAUACCGAAUAAUGCAGCGGCACCUAGUGGUGACAGUUGUUAAAGCGGGGGAUCGCAAGACCUCGCGUCUGAAGAGGAGCCUGCGGCAGAUUAGCUAGUUGGUAAGGUAACGGCUUACCAAGGCUAUGAUCUGUAGCCGGCCUGAGAGGGCGGUCGGCCACACUGACACUGACAUACGGGUCAGACUCCUACGGGAGGCAGCAGUCGGGAAUUUUGGGCAAUGGGCGCAAGCCUGACCCAGCAACGCCGCGUGAAGGACGA